CACCGCGGUUAUACGAGAGGCCCAAGUUGACAAAUACCGGCGUAAAAUGUGGUUAACAUACAAUUAUACUAAAGCUAAACAUCUUCAAAGCUGUUAUACCCAUAUGAAGACAGGAAGCACUUCUACAAAAGUAGCUUUAAAUAAUGCCAACCCACGAAAGCUAGGAAA
rnacentral:rRNA from 1 species